GAAAUGCGAUAAGUAAUGUGAAUUGCAGAAUUCAGUGAAUCAUCGAAUCUUUGAACGCACCUUGCGCUCCUUGGUAUUCCUUGGAGCAUGCCUGUUUGAGUAUCAUGAAAUCUUCAAAGUAAAUCUUUUGUUAACUCAAUUGGUUUCUACUUUGGUAUUGGAGGUCUUUGCAGCUUCACACCUGCUCCUCUUUGUUCAUUAGCUGGAUCUCAGUGUUAUGCUUGGUUCCACUCGGCGUGAUAAGUUAUCUAUCGCUGAGGACACUGUAAAAGGUGGCCAAGGUAAAUGCAGAUGAACCGCUUCUAAUAGUCCAUUGACUUGGACAAUACUUUUAUGAGCUUAUCUCAAAUCAGGUAGGACUACCCGCUGAACUUAAG
rnacentral:misc_RNA from 1 species